rnacentral:pre_miRNA from 1 species
UACCUUUGUCCUAAGUCAAGCCUCCUCAAGUUUAACCAAGUUUAUAGAAAAAUAUAGCCAUUUCCAAAACAAAAAAAAAUACUACAAAAAUAUGUUCAAUGGUGGAUUUAAUGAAACUAAUUGGUGUUAUGGAUGUUAGUAUAUUUUUCCAUAAACUUGGUCAAAUUUAAAGAGGUUUGACUUAAAAUAAACCCAA